rnacentral:rRNA from 1 species
UACGUAGGUGGCAAGCGUUGUCCGGAUUUACUGGGCGUAAAGAGCACGCAGGCGGUCGGCCAAGUCGAGUGUGAAAGCCCCCGGCUCAACUGGGGAGGGUCACUUGAUACUGGUCGACUUGAAGGCGGGAGAGGGUAGUGGAAUUCCCGGUGUAGUGGUGAAAUGCGUAGAUAUCGGGAGGAAUACCGAUGGCGAAGGCAGGUCUCUGGGCUGACACUGACGCUCAUGCACGAAAGCGUGGGGAGCAAACAGG